rnacentral:rRNA from 1 species
UGCAUGCGAAGGCGCAAGCCGCUGUAUAUGCACUGACGCCUGCCCGGUGCCGGAAGGUUAAGAGGAUCCGUCAGCCUUCGGGUGAAGCGGUGAAUUCAAGCCCCGGUAAACGGCGGUGGUAACUAUAACCAUCCUAAGGUAGCGAAAUUCCUUGUCGGGUAAGUUCCGACCUGCACGAAUGGCGUAACGACUUCCCCACUGUCUCGACCAGGAGCUCGGCGAAAUUGCAGUACGAGUAAAGAUGCUCGUUAAGCGCAGAAGGACGAAAAGACCCCGGGACCUUUACUAUACCUUGGUAUUGGCAUUCGGUGUGGAUUGUGUAGCAUAGGCGGGAGGCCGAGAGGCGCGGUCGCCAGAUCGCGCGGAGCCGUAAGGUGAAAUACCGCUCUGUUCGCAUUGGAUGUCUAACCUCGAACAGUCAUCCUGUUCAGGGACAGUGCCUGGUGGGUAGUUUGACUGGGGCGGUCGCCUCCAAAAGAGUAACGGAGGCGCCCAAAGGUCCGCUCAGCCCGGUUGGCAAUCGGGCUGGCGAGUGCAAGUGCACAAGCGCGCUUGACUGCGAGGACGACGGUCCGAGCAGGGACGAAAGUCGGGACUAGUGAUCCGGUGCCGGUGUACGGACGCGGCAUCGCUCAACGGAUAAAAGGUACCCCGGGGAUAACAGGCUGAUCAUUCCCAAGAGUCCAUAUCGACGGGAUGGUUUGGCACCUCGAUGUCGGCUCGUCGCAUCCUGGGGCUGGAGAAGGUCCCAAGGGUUGGGCUGUUCGCCCAUUAAAGUGGCACGCGAGCUGGGUUCAGAACGUCGUGAGACAGUUUGGUCUCUAUCCUCUGCGCUCGUUGGAAUGCUGAGGAGGCCUGCCCAUAGUACGAGAGGACCUGGGUGGACGAACCUCUGGUAUGCCGGUUGUCACGCCAGUGGCACGGCCGGUUGGCUACGUUCGGAAGGGAUAACCGCUGAAAGCAUCUAAGCGGGAAGCCUGCUCCAAGAUAAGCAUUCCAUAGGACUACGGGUCCUUGAAGUCCCCAUGCAGAACACGUGGUUGAUAGGCCGGACGUGGAAGCCCCGCGAGGGGUGGAGCCGACCGGUACUAACGGACGAAAGGCAACACUAA